rnacentral:rRNA from 1 species
CGACCCCAGUCAGACGACAGCCCAAAGU